AUGCUCACUUUGGCAGCACACACACGAAAACUGGAACAAUACAGAGAUUGGCAUGGCCCCUGCGCAAGGAUGACACUCAAAUUUUGGGCAUUUUGCCUGCAAAU